UUCAGCACCUGUUCUCCUUGCAUGAAUGGGUACAGAUCUUGAAACAGUCUCUCCCCGUCACCAUCAGACAUCUGCCUCCCUAACUUCCUUGGCUGGUGCCAGCUCUCAAGGCUUAUAGUCUGCCACUUGGCAGGUGCUGCCAUUCUCAGCUCUUCUUCCCAAACUGCCUUCUUCAUCACAUUCUCUGUCCUUCCUCCAACUUCCCAUGGACCCUCCCUCAUGUGGACAGGCAGACUGUGGGCUUGGGCCAUUCCUCUGCCCUCCAGGUCUUCUCGGUCCCUUGGCCCCAGGAAGCCACCAACCUCCUGUCCUCUUCUUCUCCAGUAGGCGUGGUCGUGAGCAGUCUGGGGCUGAGAGGACCACCUUAGCACGGGCUGGUCGUAAAACCUACAAAACAGACAGGCACAGAAGUUAUAGCAGGGGAAGACCCAUGCAGGAGAAGCAUUUCUUCGUCUGCUCUAUGACUGGUGCUCCCAGUCAAACACAGAUUGAAUGUACAAGACUUCAGUGGAAGAAGUUAUUGCAAAUGGGGUGGAAACAGCAAGAGAACAAGAAUUAGAAGUGAAGUCUGAAGAUGAGAUUCAAUUGCUGCCAUCCUGUGAUAAAACUUGAAUGGAUGAGGAGCUGCUUUUUAUGGAUGAACAAUGAAAGUGGUUUCUUGAGGUGGAAUCUGCUCCUGGUGAAGAUGCCGUGAAGAUUGUUGAAAUGACAAUAAAGAAUUUAGAAUAUCA